ACGGGUGAGUAAUGCAUCGGAACGUACCGUGUAGUGGGGGAUAACCCGGCGAAAGUCGGAUUAAUACCGCAUACGAUCUACGGAUGAAAGCGGGGGAUCGCAAGACCUCGCGCUAUACGAGCGGCCGAUGUCGGAUUAGCUAGUUGGUAGGGUAAAGGCCUACCAAGGCAACGAUCCGUAGCGGGUCUGAGAGGAUGAUCCGCCACACUGGGACUGAGACACGGCCCAGACUCCUACGGGAGGCAGCAGUGGGGAAUUUUGGACAAUGGACGAGAGUCUGAUCCAGCCAUGCCGCGUGAGUGAAGAAGGCCUUCGGGUUGUAAAGCUCUUUUGUCCGGGAGCAAAUCCUGAUUCCUAAUACGAAUCGGGGAUGAGAGUACCGGAAGAAUAAGGACCGGCUAACUACGUGCCAGCAGCCGCGGUAAUACGUAGGGUCCAAGCGUUAAUCGGAAUUACUGGGCGUAAAGGGUGCGCAGGUGGUUACGUAAGUCUGAUGUGAAAUCCCCGGGCUCAACCUGGGAACUGCAUUGGAGACUACGUGACUAGAGUGUGGCAGAGGGGGGUGGAAUUCCGCGUGUAGCAGUGA
rnacentral:rRNA from 1 species